GCCUCUCUCUCUCUGUCUGUCUCUCAUGAGUAAAUAAAUAAAAUCUUACAAAAAAGAUAUAUAUCUAAAGCCAAGUGAAGGGAUUUUAAAGGUGAAUUCCUCUUAUUAUCCCUCAGAAAACUAUCUUAAAAUACUUUCUCCAUCCAUCUCACACUACCUCAAACAUUACUGUUCAGCAGCUACUUCAGCCCCCUGUUAUACUUUCUCAAAACUUGCUAGUAUUCAGUUUCCACACUCCACACUGGCUCUUCCUCUUCUUUUCACCUCUUUCUAUUCUUUUGGUUUAUUUUCUCUCACUAGAGUGGCUACUCAUUAGCCACAACACACCAAAGGCUAAGGAAGCAUAUACUGAAACCUCCUUGGAAAGGAGGCCUCCUUGGAAGGAAGGCUUUGGAAAUACUUACAUAAUCAGAAUAUACUGGGGUCCCAUGUGGCCCAGAGUCUGUGUCAUAUCACUGUCAAAGAAACAGCAGUCUGACUCUAGAAGCCAAGAUAAAUAGUGUUGAUCUUUCAGUGUUUUUGAAAGAGCAUAGUGCAGAGGUUUCAUACAGCACGUUAUGUAGAAAGUUCCCUCAAAAAUAUUUCUACAUCUCCCUCGCUCCCUCAAGUAUCCCAUUUGAGGCAAAGGUUAGAAAUCCCCAAGUACAGGAGUUCAUCAGAUCACCGCUUGAGAGAAGGUUGAGAGUGGGAGGGUGGGUUGUGAUCUGCCUGAUAAAAGGUUAAUUCUUUCAUUUAUUCAACUGACAAAUGUUCAUGAAGUCCCAGCUGGGGACUGGACACUGUGAUAGGGACUAGGGACACUAUAAUAAAUACGACAUUUGUAGUCUGCUACGGAAGAAGACACUGAACAUAAAAAUUGUGAUGAGUGUUAUAAUAAUAUCUUACAUAUAUUGAAUGCUAAUUUUGUGCAGGUAUUAUGCUAAUGGUUCUAUGUUUACUCAGUUUAGUUGUCUAAUAUUUUCAAGAAACCAAUGUGAUAAAUACUGUUAUUACCUCCAUUCUACAAGUAGAGAAACUGUGUAUUAUGUAAUAACUUACCCAAGGUCACACAUUUAAUAAAUGUUGGAGCUAGGAUUUGAAACCAAGUUUACCUGAUUUCUGAUCUGAAGUUCUUAGCCAAUAUUAAAGUGCUGUUACUUUCUAGCAGGGAGGGAGGAGAAAAAUGGUGGCAUCAUUGAAACUGAAAGACUCUGCCUUCACCAUUCAGAAGUUGGGCUGUCAGUCAACAGCUGACCUCAGGGAAUCAAGAAAACUGACUUUGCAGAGGAAGACCCUUUGGAUCUGGGUCCCAGAGCACUCAGCUGAAGAUCUGCAGAGUCUGUGAAAUAGACAGGUGGCUUGGCCCAUAAUUUGAGAAGCAAGUCAUGCUGAUGGGUAAAUACCACACUUUAUGGUGUCCGUCAUUUAAGGGAUAACCCAACUUGUGGAAUUCCUAAACAGGAUGAGACCAAUGGAAAAUGGAAUUGGCCACAUAUCCUGGUUUUGAGGCCAGUGCUUAGAUGAUCAAUUUGAGAUGUUUCUUCUUUUCUAUGGUAAGCCCUUUUGUACUACAUAUUUUCUUCUCAGCACUGCUUUAGCUGUGUCUCACAAACUUUGAUGUGUUUUCAUUCAAUUAAGUGUAAUUUUAAAAUUUCCUUUGAGACUUUGACACACAGAUUAUUAGAAGUGUAGGUUUAGUGUCCAAGUGUUAGGAGAUAUUUAUGCUGCUGAUUUCUAGUUUGAUUCCAUUGUGGCUGCAGAGAGUAUAUUUUGUAUGAUUUCAAUUACUUUGCUUGUUGAGGCCAAUAGAAAUAGUCACUAUCCCUAUGCACACUUAAAAAGAAUGCUGUUGUUGUAUAGAGUGUUCUAUAAAUAUCAAUUUGAUUCUGCUAAUUAAUAUCAUUGCUGAUUUUCUGUCUAGUUUUCUAUUUAUUUUUGAGAGGACUGUUAAAGUCUUCAACCAUAAUGGUGGAUUUGUCUAUUUCUCUUUCCAGUUUUUAAAUUUUUUCUUUAAAUGUGUUUUAGCUUUGUUGUUUGGAGCAUACACAGUAGGAUUGCUAUUCUUGACAAAUUGACCCUUUUAUCAGUAUGUAAUCCCCAUGCUGUCUCUGGUAACUUUCGCUUUUUAAGUUUUUGUUUUUUAGUAAUCUCUAUAUGCAAUGUGGGGCUUGAACUCCUAACUCAAGAUCAGGAGUUACAUGCUCUUCUGACUGAACCUUCCAGGCACCCCUCUGAACCUACUUUCCAUAACGAAGAGUGAUAAUACUGAAUACUUGAAUUUCUAAUCAGCCUGUACCUUGGACUGAGCUUGUGAUUCAUUCCUGGCCAAAAGAAGCUGAGAGAAAAUAUUCUGGAGACUAAUAAAAAGAUAGAGAUACAUGAAGAGAUCUUUUCUGUGUUGGACAUGUGACAAUUAGAUGCUUGAAUGUUUUAUGGCUCUCAUGUUACCUUGACAGAAAGACCAAAAGAAUUGCAGACAAGGUAAUUAAAAGUCCUAGCAUUCUUGAGAUAUAAAUUAAUAGUAGUAUCAAUCUUGAAGAAUUGCUUGGGACCAACAUUAUUAACAUAGUAGAAUGAGUUCUCUACUGUCUUCCUCCAAAAGAACUCCUAUUCAGACAGUCACCCACAGAUGAGAGUGUGUUUGUGGAAGUCUAGGAGUUCAGUUGAGAAGAUCUAGCACAAUGUUAGAGGGGGCAAAAAAGGCAAGAUUAGACACCUUAAAGAGAGUAAGAGUAACACUUUCACUUUACCUGUAUCAUCCCUCACCCAAGGCAGCACAGCUCAGUCACAAAAGAGUUCUUUUUGGCCAUGAUUUCUCUCAUGAGGUAAAAUGAGAGCAUGGGAGUAAGCACCCAGCUUCCCAUUUGUGCAGAGUGCCACUCUAGAGCUGUUGGAGAUGUCGCACCUGGAGAUCUCUCCAAUUGGUCCACAGGUACCCUCAAUGCUAUGUGUGCCUCAUGCACAUCUCCCCCACACCCCAUGGAUAUCUUCCAGUAUGCUCCCCUAGGGCAGCAAAAGAGAUCCUUUACAGAAAAAAACAGUCCUAAAAUUUAUAUGGAACCACAAAAGGCCCUGAAUAGCUAAAGAAACUGAGAAGAAACAAAACCAGAGACAUCAUACUUCCUGAUUUCAAGCUAUAAUAUAAAGCCAUAGGAAUCAAUACAGCAUAGUACUGGCAUAAAAAUAGAAGCAUAGACCAAUAAAAUAGAAUCAAAAGCCCAGAUAAGAACCCAUGAAUAUAGUCAACUAAUGUUUUACAAGGGAUCCAAGAAGACUCAAUGGGAAAUGAUAGCUCUUUAAUAAAUAAUAAUGGGAAAACUGGGUAUCACAUGCAAAAGGAUGAAAUUGGAACCCUAUCUUAUACUACUCACAAAAGCUAACUUGAAGUGGAUUAAAGUCUUAAAUAUAAGACCUGAAACCAUGAAUACUCACAAGUAUUCACACCCGAAUACUCCAAGAAGACACAUAAGAAAAAAGCUUCUUGAUAUUGGUCUUGGCAACAAUUUUUUGGAUAUGACAACAAAAGCACAAAACAACCACAAAACCAAAAU